rnacentral:rRNA from 1 species
UACGUAGGGUGCGAGCGUUGUCCGGAAUUACUGGGCGUAAAGCGUGCGCAGACGGUCAUGUAAGUCGGGUGUGAAAGCCCCGGGCUCAACCUGGGAAUUGCAUUCGAGACUGCAUGGCUAGGGUGCGGAAGAGGGAAGCGGAAUUUCCGGUGUAGCGGUGAAAUGCGUAGAUAUCGGGAGGAACACCAGUGGCGAAGGCGGUUGCCUGGGGCUUUGCUGACGCUGAUGCGCGAAAGCGUGGGGAGCGAUCCGG